rnacentral:rRNA from 1 species
UACGGGGGGUGCGAGCGUUGUCCGGAAUUAUUGGGCGUAAAGAGCUCGUAGGCGGUUUGUCGCGUCUGCUGUGAAAACUCGGGGCUUAACCCCGGGCCUGCAGUGGGUACGGGCAGACUAGAGUGCGGUAGGGGAGACUGGAAUUCCUGGUGUAGCGGUGAAAUGCGCAGAUAUCAGGAGGAACACCGAUGGCGAAGGCAGGUCUCUGGGCCACUACUGACGCUGAGAAGCGAAAGCAUGGGGAGCGAACAGG